rnacentral:rRNA from 1 species
GACGAACGCUGGCGGCGUGCUUAACACAUGCAAGUCGAACGGAAAGGCCCCUUUGGGGGUACUCGAGUGGCGAACGGGUGCGUAACACGUGAGUAACCUGCCCUUGACUUCGGGAUAACUUCAGGAAACUGGGGCUAAUACCGGAUAGGAAUCCUUGCUGCAUGGUGGGGGUUGGAAAGCUUCGGCGGUUUUGGAUGGACUCGCGGCUUAUCAGCUUGUUGGUGGGGUAGUGGCUUGCCAAGGCUUUGACGGGUAGCCGGCCUGAGAGGGCGACCGGCCACAGUGGGACUGAGAUACGGCCCAGACUCCUACGGGAGGCAGCAGUGGGGAAUAUUGCACAAUGGGCGGAAGCCUGAUGCAGCAACGCCGCGUGCGGGAUGACGGCCUUCGGGUUGUAAACCGCUUUCAGCAGGGGCGAAGCUUGUGGUGACGGUACCUGCAGAAGAAGCACCGGCUAACUACGUG